rnacentral:lncRNA from 1 species
AUGGUUGAGAUACAAUUACCAUCUGCAUCUCUGUUUCCAGAUGGAAAUGGUAAUCCUCCAUUUCUCCACCUCUGCAUUCACCAAACACCGACUACAUCUUUGAAGGAUUACUCUUGCAAAAUAACUUGGAAACUCCAGACUGUUUUGUUUAUUUGAAGAGCCCCUGACCAGGAACACUAGGGAUAAACUGAGACUACGUGGAGUUGAUGAAGCUCCCCACAGUAAGGUAGCACACUCAUUUCCAGAUGAAAUUGACCAAGCAGAUGGGCUCAAAAGGGUAAGAAACGCGGUUGGAAUGGGUUAAAUGCAUAGGAAGGCAUUCUUGUUUUCCACCCUCUCCCUUACUUCUGACCAGUAAGCUACGCUGGUUAAGUGGGUCACAGGAGAGGCUCCCAGGUGGCCCAGCCAAACUCAGGAGGUGACACUAGUGGCCCUCUGACCGGAGGGCAGCGUUUUCCAUUACAGAAGUGAAAUGAGGCUCUAAGACUGGAAAGGGGACAUUGGCAUUGGAAGGCGCCUGACUGUUACAACCUGGAGCAAAAACUCAAAGCUUUCGGUUUCCCUCCCGCCCUCCCCCCACCAUAUUUCUUUUAGAAAAGCAACAAAUUCUGGCUGAUUAUCACUUAUGCUCCACCCCAUUCUUCUAAGUCAGCUUUUGUGCAGGAAAAUAGAGACCUGCUUUCUUUGGCUUAUCAGCGUCCCAGGAAAGGGGAAAGGAGCGUCUGGCCUGCUAUCUGCAUCUUGCCUGGGGACAAUGAAACGCUGAAAGCAGGCUCCACGGGCAGGGGCUGCCACUUCAGACCCACAGAGUAUCUGCAAGGACCAGGGAAGGAGAGGAUGGAGGAGGGGCUCCGCUUAGCCUGCCGAAAACAUAAUAGCCCCUGGGGUGGGCUGCUGUGAACAGGAAGGGCGUGGGCAGGCUCUGAGCGCAGCUGCCGUUCUGCUCAUGCCGCCCAUUCCCACAGCCUUUGAUCAGCAGGCGAAUGGCAUUCUGUACCCUGAGAUAAAUGCCUGGUCAGAGGGUGUGGGUGGCUGUGGAGGGGGAUAAGGAUUAAAGACGAAGGUGUUUUAUAGACAGCCUGAAGGAUGUGUGUUUCAAAACUGGGAUCAGGGAGGUGCUAGGUACGAGGGAACAGAAAGGUUUCCCAUUGGUGCA